GGGGGAGCCAGGGCAAGCGGUCUGUUAAACCGUCGGCUCAGCCUACGCAAGUUCGAACCUUGCACCUGCCA
rnacentral:tRNA from 1 species